GCAUAUCAAUAAGCGGAGGAAAAGAAACUAACAAGGAUUCCCCUUAGUAACUGCGAAGUGAAGAAGGGAAAAGCUCAAAUUUAAAAUCUGGCAGCUUCGCUGUCCCGAGUUGUAAUUUAGAGAAGUGUUGCCCGCGCUGGACCGUGUACAAGUCUCCUGGAAUGGAGCGUCAUAGAGGGUGAGAAUCCCGUCUUUGACACGGACUCCCAGUGCAUUGUGGUACGCUCUCAAAGAGUCGUGUUGUUUGGGAAUGCAGCACUAAAUGGGUGGUAAAUUCCAUCUAAAGCUAAAUAUUGGCGAGAGACCGAUAGCAAACAAGUACCGUGAGGGAAAGAUGAAAAGAACUUUGGAAAGAGAGUUAAACAGUACGUGAAAUUGUUGAAAGGGAAACGCUUAAAGUCCAGUCGCGUCGGUUGGGAAUCAGUCUCGCUCUUUUGCUUGACGUACUUCCUAGCUGACGGGUCAGCAUCAGUUUUGAUCGUUGGAUAAAGGUUGGAGGAAUGUGGCACCUUCGGGUGUGUUAUAGCCUCUGGUUGUAUACAACGGUUGGGACUGAGGAACUCAGCACGCCGAAAGGCCGGGUACUUGUACCACGUACGUGCUUAGGAUGCUGGCAUAAUGGCUUUAAUCGACCCGUCUUGAAACACGGACCAAGGAGUCUAACAUGCCUGCGAGUAUUUGGGUGGAAAACCCGAGUGCGCAAUGAAAGUGAAAGUUGAGAACUCUUUAGAGUGCAUCGACGCCCGGACCAGACGUUCUCCGACGGAUCCGCGGUAGAGCAUGUAUGUUGGGACCCGAAAGAUGGUGAACUAUGCCUGAAUAGGGUGAAGCCAGAGGAAACUUCUGGUGGAGGCUCGUAGCGAUUCUGACGUGCAAAUCGAUCGUCGAAUUUGGGUAAUAGGGGCGAAAGACUAAUCGAACCAUCUAGUAGCUGGGUUCCUGCG
rnacentral:rRNA from 1 species